rnacentral:rRNA from 1 species
UACAGAGGUCUCAAGCGUUUGUUCGGAUUCAUUGGGCGUAAAGGGUGCGUAGGUGGCAUGGUAAGUCGGAUGUGAAAUCCCGGGGCUCAACCCCGGAACUGCAUUCGAUACUGCUGCGCUAGAGUACUGGAGAGGAGAUUGGAAUUUACGGUGUAGCAGUGAAAUGCGUAGAUAUCGUGAGGAAGACCAGUGCGAAGGCGGAUCUCUGGGCCGUAACUGACGCUGAGGAGCGAAAGCAUGGGGGAGCGAACAGG